AGGACUUCUCUCUUUCAAGGAGACAACGGGAAUUCAAGUUUCCCUGGGGGUG
rnacentral:tRNA from 2 species